AUUUAUCUGGCUUUUAUAUUUCCAUCAAGAAAUGAAUUAUCACCACCUUCAUUUAGGCCUUCAACCCAAGGCAAGGUUAAAAUCUCAAAUCGUUGAACAAAGAAUGAUCCUUCUUCCUCAAUCACAUGCCUAAUUUCUUCAACUGUAGGUUCAUACACUGGUAUGUUAAAGGAGUCCAAUUUUUCUUCUUCAAUCAAACCCUGCUGGGUAUAUAUUCAUGAAUAUAAUGUGUAAUAUUUUAAAGACUUAGUUAAUUUCAAGAGAUACCUAAUGACAAUUAAUGAAAAAAUUGUUAUUUACCUCCAAGAACAUGUCAUUGAGUUUUAGACUAACUAAUUCGCAACCAAUUCUUCUAGGAGUUUCAUGAUUGCCGAGAACCACCAAGACCAUUGCUCCUCCUGGCACAAGUUCCUCCGAACGUGAUUUCAGAAACAAUUUAAAAUCUUGUUGAAACUGCUUAACGUAAGCUUUGUAUAUCUCUGGAGGGCUUGUGCUAACUAUGUGACAAAUGGCCCUUGUUAAGUGAUUCUGCCUCCUUAGUCAACCCCAAUAACACAUCCUACAACCAAAAUAUGAGAUAUAUAUAUAUAUAUAUAUAUAUAUAUAUAAUCAAUCAUUUAGGGUGUACUUGCUUUGUUUACUUCAUUUUUAACAUGUAUAUUUUUACUUUACAGCCAUUUCUUAAUCCCAAAAGAAAACAAAAUAAAGUGAAAACCAUUGCACAUUAAUUUAGAAAUAGAAACAGAAAACAAACCAAACACAAAGUUUUGGUCGACCAUAACAUGUUAAUCAGCUUAGAGGAAAACAAAAAAGAGAUUUGACCUGGGAAAGCCAGUGUAGACUGUUGGAGGAAUGAAAUAGGUUUAUGGAAUUACUGGGAAAGAGCCUCCCAUAGAAGGAUCCAGGGGUUGCAUUAACAAAGCAUGGACCAAACUUGUGUCCCUUAUCUUCUACCAAUAUUGUAUAGAAAUUUGGAAGUGACUUGAAGAUGGUAUUGAAUCCGUUUCCAAAUAAAUCAUUGAGAUAAAAUUGGAAUUUUGGUGGUUCACGAUUCAAGCUAGUGCAAGCGGUAUUGACAAUGUCAAUAAUAUUUGAUAUCACCAGAAGUGCAUUUGGUCCUACAGAGCAACCUAAGUUUGCCACUUUCAUGCAGUUUGGAGAAAAAUCACGAUAUAGUCUCAUUAUAGUUUCUUCAAGUAUGGGUUUGGCUUUAAGCAUUAGUUUUUUCUGCAAUAAAUUAAAAUAGAAGUUAGAUCCAUGUAGAAGAAAAGGAGACAAAUUAAUAUAAUGAUAAAACAAGAUAGUACUUGUAGCAAGCAGUUGUUUGUAUAACUCCUUUCUCCCUUGCCACCAUUCAUGUGAAGCAAUAGCUUUCUUUCGGUUGAUGCACUGAAUAAACCCACCCACCCACACACACACAUAUAUAUAUUCUACUUCUACAUUCAAAUUCUGGAAAAUAGAAGAGGAAAUACUAACAAGAGUUAGUCUAGCGAAAGAGACUAGUCUCUCGUAAUGUACCGAACCAAGUUUAAACCAAGUUUUAAAGAAAGAUAGAUAUCUACAGAAAAUCAAAAAAAGAAAGGAAAAGAUAAGUAUGGAUUCAAUUCAGCUCCUUUCUCCCACAUUCAAUGCAUCAGAUAAGGGUUAGGACCUCCCCACCAACAAAAAUUAAAAUAAGAACAUAUAUAAAAAUUGAUAUUUAAAAGAAAAAGCACUGUUUCCAUUUUGGGAUGGAGGCUUAUCUUCUUUGGAUCCCAUACCCUCCAUUUUAUUACAAUAUCUUCAUCCCCUCGUUAUUCAAGUGCUUACGUUGAUAUUAUUAUACUCUGUCUUAAUCUUUUUUAAGCCCUCCCCAGUCAUUGUUGUCAAAAUUAUUCUAUACUACAAUAUUAUAUCUUUCCUGUGCACACAAAAAAAAUAUUAUACCUUUCCUUAUUAUAUCUUUCGAUUCCUUAUCAAUCUUCAUUGUGUUAGUAAAUAUCAAAUCAGAUAUGGUUGUAUACGUUACAACUCAAGAGCGCACUCUUUUCUUUCACAGACUGGCUCUGUCAUUUUAUUUUUUCUUUUAAAUGAUUGUCAUUGUCUCUUUUAUUUGUCGAUUUAAACUCUACUAGAAAAUUCAGUAGGAAAAGGUUACUACAUAUCAUGUAGCUACAUCUCUUGCUUAAUUUUUUACAACGCAUGUUUGUUGCUAGUAUUUAUAGACCCUUCUGGAUUGAUAAUCUGGUUAAUUUCACAGGGAAAACUUGGCUUAGAUGAGUUUAAUUGCAGUGAUCAAUUUUCAAACAAGUCUGCUGAUGAUGAUGAUGAUGUUACACCUAGUUUAAUUGCAGUCUUCAAUUUUCCUAUUAGACUGCAACUGCAAGGAACAUAGUAGCAGAAAGGCAAUAAUGUAACAGCAUGGAAGCAGCCAUUCCAAAUUCCCAAUUGGUCCCUGGAUCUGCGUGAAUCAGCCCAACAAUUUUAAAAUGAAACAAAGAAUGUAUUUCAUGACCUACGUGUUAAUAGGCACAACUUAGCAUCCUAGGCCAAAUUGAAAGCAUGCAUGAAUAGAGACGCCCCUAAGGUUUGAAGGCAUGACUCAGUCAAAACAUCCAUUUACCAUACCCAACUACUUAACAUGUUACGCGAAAUUGAUAAAUUGAACUCUCACAUAAAAAUUUUGUUGGGUAAUCAACGGCUUCCAUAAAUAAAAUUACUCAUACCCACAAAAGAUAGUGAUAACAUACAAAUAUUACACCGUAAAAAAAUAAUAACAAACAGAAGAAUUUAGCAUGAUUCGACACCUCUUACCUAUGUCUACCUAAUCGUCUCAAAAAAUACUUUAUUAUCAUAAAAAUAAUUACAAGAUUAUAACACACCCCAAAUUGUGUAUCACCCUACAAACUCGAAUACUCUACUCAAUAGUCACAAGAAAUGACAACUCACGAAAAGACAUUUUUCUUUCAAUAAAGUGACUUUGAUUCACAAUCUCUCUUCUCAGACACUCUCUAUUUAUCGUGAAGAUUGUCACCAACUAUAAUAAAUAAGUUCUCUUGAAAGUUGAAACAAAAAUAGUUUCAAUGCAUCUAUUCAACUAAGGUUCAUCUAAUAAAAUACAAUCUUUCACUUUGCAUUUAAGUCACUUAAACCUUGGUGAUAAAAAUCAAAUUUUUAAUAUGCAUGUAACUUAUCUUUUGACUUGAAACUCUGCAAAUUUUAAUAAAUUCAAACUCAUAAUUACUUUCAUGAUUUUGUGUAUUUUUCCUUUCAAUUUGUUUCAAGCAUUUCCCCUUUAUUUUCAAUUUUUUCCAAAUUGUGUUCAUCUGAUAUUAUACUAUGCACUUAAUUAUAAGAUUUUAUCUCAUAUUUUUCAAGUAGAAACAUAGGUAUUACGAUUCAUUUUUAUGAUCUGUGACAUACUAAUAUAUAUAUAGAUCUUAAGCUUGAACUAGAUCAGCCUCUUCUAUACGCCUUAACUUUAUUUCACCAGAACAAAACAGGUUCACAGAGGAAGAAAUUAAAAACUAGUAUUUAAAUAUUCUAUUGAGCAACACCUCUUCAAGCAUUUUUUGUCAUGGAUAUCACAAAAGUAGUAGACUCCAAUUUCUCCACUUCCAUCAGUUGCGCAAGUUUCUUUUCAUACCUGAUGAAUACUUCAAUUAUAACUUCUCUUCCAAACUUUGCAGACAAGAGAGGCUCCAUUAUUGCUCUUGCGACCUUGGCCAUGAAUUGGGCUUUUAUAUUUGCAUCAACACCUUCAUUUAAGCCUUCAUCCCAAGGCAAGAUUAAAAUCUCUAAUUGUUGAAGAAAGAAUGACCCUUCUUCCUGAAUCACAUGCCUAAUUUCUUCAACUGUAGGUUCAUACACUGGUAUGUUAAAGGAGUCCAAUUUUUCUUCUUCAAUCAAAC
rnacentral:lncRNA from 1 species